UACAGAGGUCUCAAGCGUUGUUCGGAUUCAUUGGGCGUAAAGGGUGUGUAGGUGGCGCGCUAAAGUCGGGUGUGAAAUUUCGGAGCUUAACUCCGAAACUGCAUUCGAUACUGGCGUGCUUGAGGACUGGAGAGGAGACUGGAAUUUACGGUGUAGCAGUGAAAUGCGUAGAUAUCGUAAGGAAGACCAGUGGCGAAGGCGGGUCUCUGGACAGUUCCUGACACUGAGACACGAAGGCCAGGGAGCAAACGGG
rnacentral:rRNA from 1 species